rnacentral:misc_RNA from 1 species
GGAAGUAAAAGUCGUAACAAGUUUUCCGUAGGUGAACCUGCGGAAGGAUCAUUAAUGAGUUGUCAUGGGGUUCGAUGCUGGCAGCCAAUUUUUGGAUGCAUGUGCUUGCCCUAACAAUCAUCUUCCAAACACCUGUGCACAUUUUUGAGGGAGUCUUGAGUUGGUUGCCGCUCUUGGGUGAUUUUCUCACAUUCCCUUAAAUCAUUAUACGCUAUUAACAAUGUUGAACGUGCUCUGUGCCGCAAGGCUAUUAAUAUAAUACAACUUUUAACAACGGAUCUCUUGGCUCUC